CGGCAGGCCUAACACAUGCAAGUCGAGCGGUAGCACAGAGAGCUUGCUCUCGGGUGACGAGCGGCGGACGGGUGAGUAAUGUCUGGGAAACUGCCUGAUGGAGGGGGAUAACUACUGGAAACGGUAGCUAAUACCGCAUAACGUCGCAAGACCAAAGUGGGGGACCUUCGGGCCUCAUGCCAUCAGAUGUGCCCAGAUGGGAUUAGCUAGUAGGUGGGGUAACGGCUCACCUAGGCGACGAUCCCUAGCUGGUCUGAGAGGAUGACCAGCCACACUGGAACUGAGACACGGUCCAGACUCCUACGGGAGGCAGCAGUGGGGAAUAUUGCACAAUGGGCGCAAGCCUGAUGCAGCCAUGCCGCGUGUGUGAAGAAGGCCUUCGGGUUGUAAAGCACUUUCAGCGGGGAGGAAGGCGGUGAGGUUAAUAACCUCAUCGAUUGACGUUACCCGCAGAAGAAGCACCGGCUAACUCCGUGCCAGCAGCCGCGGUAAUACGGAGGGUGCAAGCGUUAAUCGGAAUUACUGGGCGUAAAGCGCACGCAGGCGGUCUGUCAAGUCGGAUGUGAAAUCCCCGGGCUCAACCUGGGAACUGCAUUCGAAACUGGCAGGCUAGAGUCUUGUAGAGGGGGGUAGAAUUCCAGGUGUAGCGGUGAAAUGCGUAGAGAUCUGGAGGAAUACCGGUGGCGAAGGCGGCCCCCUGGACAAAGACUGACGCUCAGGUGCGAAAGCGUGGGGAGCAAACAGGAUUAGAUACCCUGGUAGUCCACGCCGUAAACGAUGUCGAUUUGGAGGUUGUGCCCUUGAGGCGUGGCUUCCGGAGCUAACGCGUUAAAUCGACCGCCUGGGGAGUACGGCCGCAAGGUUAAAACUCAAAUGAAUUGACGGGGGCCCGCACAAGCGGUGGAGCAUGUGGUUUAAUUCGAUGCAACGCGAAGAACCUUACCUGGUCUUGACAUCCACAGAACUUUCCAGAGAUGGAUUGGUGCCUUCGGGAACUGUGAGACAGGUGCUGCAUGGCUGUCGUCAGCUCGUGUUGUGAAAUGUUGGGUUAAGUCCCGCAACGAGCGCAACCCUUAUCCUUUGUUGCCAGCGGUUAGGCCGGGAACUCAAAGGAGACUGCCAGUGAUAAACUGGAGGAAGGUGGGGAUGACGUCAAGUCAUCAUGGCCCUUACGACCAGGGCUACACACGUGCUACAAUGGCAUAUACAAAGAGAAGCGACCUCGCGAGAGCAAGCGGACCUCAUAAAGUAUGUCGUAGUCCGGAUUGGAGUCUGCAACUCGACUCCAUGAAGUCGGAAUCGCUAGUAAUCGUAGAUCAGAAUGCUACGGUGAAUACGUUCCCGGGCCUUGUACACACCGCCAGUCACACCAUGGGAGUGGGUUGCAAAAGAAGUA
rnacentral:rRNA from 1 species